UAUAAGACUGGGAUAACUUCGGGAAACCGGAGCUAAUACCGGAUAACAUUUAGAACCGCAUGGUUCUAAAGUGAAAGAUGGUUUUGCUAUCACUUAUAGAUGGACCCGCGCCGUAUUAGCUAGUUGGUAAGGUAACGGCUUACCAAGGCGACGAUACGUAGCCGACCUGAGAGGGUGAUCGGCCACACUGGAACUGAGACACGGUCCAGACUCCUACGGGAGGCAGCAGUAGGGAAUCUUCCGCAAUGGGCGAAAGCCUGACGGAGCAACGCCGCGUGAGUGAUGAAGGGUUUCGGCUCGUAAAACUCUGUUAUUAGGGAAGAACAAAUGUGUAAGUAACUGUGCACAUCUUGACGGUACCUAAUCAGAAAGCCACGGCUAACUACGUGCCAGCAGCCGCGGUAAUACGUAGGUGGCAAGCGUUAUCCGGAAUUAUUGGGCGUAAAGCGCGCGUAGGCGGUUUCUUAAGUCUGAUGUGAAAGCCCACGGCUCAACCGUGGAGGGUCAUUGGAAACUGGGAAACUUGAGUGCAGAAGAGGAAAGUGGAAUUCCAUGUGUAGCGGUGAAAUGCGCAGAGAUAUGGAGGAACACCAGUGGCGAAGGCGACUUUCUGGUCUGUAACUGACGCUGAUGUGCGAAAGCGUGGGGAUCAAACAGGAUUAGAUACCCUGGUAGUCCACGCCGUAAACGAUGAGUGCUAAGUGUUAGGGGGUUUCCGCCCCUUAGUGCUGCAGCUAACGCAUUAAGCACUCCGCCUGGGGAGUACGACCGCAAGGUUGAAACUCAAAGACCGCAAGGUUGAAACUCAAA
rnacentral:rRNA from 1 species